rnacentral:rRNA from 1 species
CACGUAGGCACCCAAGCGUUGUCCGGAUUUAUUGGGCGUAAAGAGCUCGUAGGCGGUUCAGUAAGUCGGGUGUGAAAACUCUGGGCUUAACCCAGAGCCGCCACUCGAUACUGCUGUGACUUGAGUUCGGUAGGGGAGCAGGGAAUUCCUAGUGUAGCGGUGAAAUGCGCAGAUAUUAGGAGGAACACCGGUGGCGAAGGCGCUGCUCUGGGCCGAUACUGACGCUGAGGAGCGAAAGCGUGGGUAGCAAACAGGAUUAG